rnacentral:rRNA from 1 species
UACGUAGGUGGCAAGCGUUGUCCGGAUUUACUGGGCGUAAAGAGCGCGCAGGCGGUCGUUCAAGUCGCGUGUGAAAGCCCCCGGCUCAACUGGGGAGGGUCACGCGAUACUGAUCGACUCGAAGGCAGGAGAGGGUAGUGGAAUUCCCGGUGUAGUGGUGAAAUGCGUAGAGAUCCGGAGGAACACCAGAGGCGAAGGCGGCCUACUGGGCCAGUACUGACGCUGAGCCGCGAAAGCCAGGGGAGCGAACGGG